rnacentral:rRNA from 1 species
AUGGAGGUUGCAAUUAAGAACACUUUGCCGACGACAGCUCAUCGAUGGUGCAAAUGGCACGUGCUGGAGAAAGCAAAGGAGACCUUAGGGCCAAUGUACACAAAGAUGAGUGAGUUCAGAGCUGAGUUCCAUAAAGUUAUCAACCACAUGUUGACGAUUGAAGAGUUUGAAGAGGCGUGGAAGAUGCUGGUGGAGAAGUACAGCCUGAAGACCCAUGUGUACAUGACCCAGAUAUACGAAAUCAGGCACAAGUGGGUGAAACCGUACUUCAAGUGUGUUUUCUGCGCAAAUAUGACCAGCCCGCAGAGAAGCGAGAGUGCGAACGGCAUGUUGAAGUCGUAUGUGCCGCCGGGGUGCCCAAUGCACAUGUUUGUGAAGAAGUACAUGCAUUUGCAGUUCUACAUCGACUCCGGAGAAAGCUAUGAAGAGAAGAGGACCAAAACUGUGAGUGUUCAGUUCUCAAGUGUGUGUCUGUUCGUACAGAGUAGACUGACCCGUCUCCGAAGAAAGCUAUGA